rnacentral:tRNA from 1 species
GCCUGAGUAGCACAAAUGGUUGAUUGCUCAGCUACUAACUGAAAGGUUGGUGGUUCGAAUCCAUCCAGAGGUG